rnacentral:rRNA from 1 species
GAUGAACGCUGGCGGCGUGCCUAAUACAUGCAAGUCGAGCGAACGGACGAGAAGCUUGCUUCUCUGAUGUUAGCGGCGGACGGGUGAGUAACACGUGGAUAACCUACCUAUAAGACUGGGAUAACUUCGGGAAACCGGAGCUAAUACCGGAUAAUAUUUUGAACCGCAUGGUUCAAAAUUUAAAGACGGCCUUGCUGCCACUUAUAGUUGGUUCCGCGCUGCAUUAGCUAGUUGGUAAGGGAACGGCUUACCAAGGCAACGAUGCAUAGCCGACCUGAGGGGGUGAUCGGCCACACUGGAACUGAGACACGGUCCAGACUCCGACGGGAGGCAGCAGUAGGGAAUCUUCCGCAAUGGGCGAAAGCCUGACGGAGCAACGCCGCGUGAGUGAUGAAGGUCUUCGGAUCGUAAAACUCUGUUAUUAGGGAAGAACAGAUGUGUAAGUAACUGUGCACAUCUUGACGGUACCUAAUCAGAAAGCCACGGCUAACUACGUG